rnacentral:rRNA from 1 species
UGAGGAAUAUUGGUCAAUGGGCGAGAGCCUGAACCAGCCAAGUCGCGUGAAGUAAGACAGUCCUACGGAUUGUAAACUUCUUUUAUACGGGAAUAACGGGCGAUACGAGUAUUGCAUUGAAUGUACCGUAAGAAUAAGCAUCGGCUAACUCCGUGCCAGCAGCCGCGGUAAUACGGAGGAUGCGAGCGUUAUCCGGAUUUAUUGGGUUUAAAGGGUGCGUAGGUUGUUCGGUAAGUCAGCGGUGAAACCUGAGCGCUCAACGUUCAGCCUGCCGUUGAAACUGCCGGGCUGGAGUUCAGUGGCGGCAGGGGGAAUUCGUGGUGUAGCGGUGAAAUGCAUAGAUAUCACGAGGAACUCCGAGUGCGAAGGCAGCUUGCCAUACUGCGACUGACACUGAAGCACGAAGGCGUGGGUAUCAAACAGG